UUUGAAAAACCUUAGAGGUGAAUUGACAAUCAAACGUCUGCAAUCAGUCAGAAAUAAAGAAGAGGCUCGAACAGCAUAUUUACAGGAGAAACCAAAUAUCUACAAGCUGACAUAUUUGUGGUCCCAUGAUGAAUCAGAAGGCAGUGAGAUCAAUGAUGAACAUGUGUUGGAUGGUCUUCAACCGCAUCCUAACUUGAAAACCUUAGUAGUGGAGAACUAUUUGGGAACUAUAUUUCCUUCAUGGUUCAGUAAAGAAUUGCUACCGAAUUUGGUCAUGUUGAAAUUAAGUGGUUGCAAAAGGUGCAAAGAAAUUCCAUCCCUUGGCCAACUGAAAUUCCUUCGGCAUCUUGAGCUGGUAGGAUUCCAUGAGUUGGAAUGCAUUGGACCUGCUUUAUAUGGUGUUGAGAUUAGCAAUAUUGGAUCAAGCAGCAUUAUCCAAGUGUUCCCGUCAUUGAAAGAACUAGUAUUGAAGGAUAUGCGUAGCCUUAUUGAGUGGAAGGGAGAUGAAGUUGGAGUAAGAAUGUUUCCUAGGCUUGAGAAGUUGACGAUUACAA